UCUAAAAUAAUCACAUUGCGGUAUCUCUCUCUCCUCAAUUUUCACUACUUCGUUAUCCGUCUUAGUGGAACUAAAGUUACACACUAUAUACUCCAUCUUCGUUCUACUUAUCUUAAACCCUUUUGAUUCCAAGGUUGAUCUUCAUAAUUCCAACUUGGCAUCUAUCCCUGCUUUUGUUUCGUCCACCGAAACAAUAUCAUCAGCAAAAAGCAUACACCAAAGGAUCUUAUCUUGAAUGUAUCCAGUCAACUCAUCUAUGAUUAGCACAAACAAAUAUAGGCUUAAAGCUGAUCCUUGAUGUAAUUCAAUUGUAAU